GACAGAGGGGGCAAGCGUUGCUCGGAAUCACUGGGCGUAAAGGGCGCGUAGGCGGCCCGCUAAGUCGAACGUGAAAUCCCCGGGCUCAACCCGGGAACUGCGUCCGAUACUGGUGGGCUCGAAUCCGGGAGAGGGAUGCGGAAUUCCAGGUGUAGCGGUGGAAUGCGCAGAUAUCAGGAGGAACACCGAUGGCGAAGGCAGUUCUCUGGGCCGAUACUGACGCUGAGGAGCGAAAGCGUGGGGAGCGAACAGG
rnacentral:rRNA from 1 species